UUAUAAAUUAAACAUGGAACAAAAAAUUAGUCAGUGUUUUGUUGUGGGGUGCGAUCGAGAGAAAGGGGGAAGAGAAGAACAAAAACCCUAGCAUCACAAAUCCUUCAAAUUGAAAAGGGAAACUGGCUCAAAUCGAAUGCAUGGACCUAGAUUCUUGAUCAUCUAGACUUUCUACACAUGAUCAUUAGGGAUCAUGUGGAAAUGGACUCAAGCAAGAAAGACUAACGGGUCAAGAGGAGAUAAGGAAGCGAAUGCGAAGACGGACGCUCAAGGUACGAGAAUGUCGGCUUAGUUCGAGUUGAGAUCAAGGAUUGUACGGGGUAGAAAGGUCACAUAGUCUGACUCAUAUAGGUCUUGAAGUAUUAAUGUUAUAAAAAGUUGUAAAUCCGUUUUAAUGAUUAUAUGGCAUUUCGUACUCGAACCUUCAUGUGAUCGAUAUGCUUAAUUAAGAACGAAAUUUUUGGGCU